rnacentral:lncRNA from 1 species
CCCGGCGCGUCCGGACGCUCUAGCCCGCGGGGACGCCGCGCCGGAAGUCUCCGCUGCUCCUCGCGGGGCGGGCCGGCCUGGGGGCGCGCGUACCCGCACUUCCGCCCCCGGAAGGAAGGCAGGCGCGCGCUUCCUGCGGCGCGCGGUUGCGGCCCGGAAAGGUGGAUACUUUGGCAGUUACUCUGGUAUGCUGUGAAUAUUGCUGCUUUUGACAGGUAAGUUUUCCUCCCCCAGUGCAAAAAUACCCAUGAUAUUUAUCAGUGAAGAAUGAGAAGUUGCUGUUUAUUGUGGGGUAUGGGCUGUAACAAUGAUGAGGGACUAUUAAACAGGAGUUUAUGAAAGCUGUUGCAAUUGGAAGGAGAGGGUGUUAGGGAUGGUCUAGCAGGCAGCCAACAAUUUAUUUUUUCUAAGGUUUGGUUGAACUAUACUGUUGUCUUUUUUUCUGCAUUUCCCCAUUGGUCACAGUUAUUCAGAGGGAUCUCAAUUUCCCACAAAAAUUUACAAUUCCAACGUCAGGGGAAUAGCUGAAAAAAUAAUGGUACAGUGAUAAAUAAAAUUUCAUUCUUUUGCA